GUGCUGGCCAGUGGGAUAAAAUUUGUUCAAACCAUUUUAAAUCACAGGAUUAUUAUGUACAUGGUUCAAAAAAAAAUUAGUAUAUGAUGCAGUACCAACUCAAGAUGUUUUGAAAAAUAAAGAUGAAAAUGAUUCAAAUCAGAUUCAAUCACCAAAAACACCACUGUAUCAAUCUAAAAGGAAACUAUUUUCUAGCUCAUCUGUGUCCCUUAGAAAAGUAUUCUGUUCUUCGUCAAGAUUUGGUGACUUGACUGAAAUAGAUUUUAGUACUCCUCGAAGAUCGAAAAAAAAUUUUCAAUUUGUCCAAAC